rnacentral:rRNA from 1 species
UACGGAGGAUGCGAGCGUUAUCCGGAUUUAUUGGGUUUAAAGGGUGCGUAGGCGGUAUGGUAAGUCAGCGGUAAAAGCCCGGGGCUCAACCCCGGCGAGCCGUUGAAACUGCCGUGCUAGAGAGGAAGAGAAGUAGGCGGAAUGCGCAGUGUAGCGGUGAAAUGCUUAGAUAUCACGAAGAACUCCGAUUGCGAAGGCAGCUCACUGGACUGCAACUGACACUGAGGCUCGAAAGUGUGGGUAUCAAACACG